rnacentral:rRNA from 1 species
UUUAUGGAGAGUUUGAUCCUGGCUCAGGAUGAACGCUGGCGGCGUGCCUAAUACAUGCAAGUCGAGCGAACAGAUAAGGAGCUUGCUCCUUUGACGUUAGCGGCGGACGGGUGAGUAACACGUGGGUAACCUACCUAUAAGACUGGAAUAACUCCGGGAAACCGGGGCUAAUGCCGGAUAACAUGUUGAAUCGCAUGGUUCUACAGUGAAAGACGGUCUUGCUGUCACUUAUAGAUGGACCCGCGCCGUAUUAGCUAGUUGGUGGGGUAACGGCCUACCAAGGCGACGAUACGUAGCCGACCUGAGAGGGUGAUCGGCCACACUGGAACUGAGACACGGUCCAGACUCCUACGGGAGGCAGCAGUAGGGAAUCUUCCGCAAUGGGCGAAAGCCUGACGGAGCAACGCCGCGUGAGUGAUGAAGGUCUUCGGAUCGUAAAGCUCUGUUGUUAGGGAAGAACAAAUGCGUAAGUAACUGUGC